AAUCAGUAAGAGAGAGAGAGAAGGGAAGCAGGAGCAAACACACAAGCAGCUCAAGCACAUGGAGCGAGAAAGAGAGAGAGAGAGAGAUAGGAAGAGAGAGAUACCCACACAUAAAUGCAAGCAUUGGUGACUUUGUGUCAGCCACUUCACCCAGCGUCUGCCCCUCUGCCUUCCACCGCCUUCCGCCUUCUCCAUCAUUGUCACCUUGAGCUUUGGGUUAUUGGGUUUUUGCACACUCCUGCCCCUCUGCCACCCCACCUCAUCCUGAUGCACUUUGCACUCGGUUUAAGGUGACAACAACACCAGUGGACAAAUUGGUAGAUGAUGCAGACAGCAGGCGGCAGGCGGCAGGCAGAAGGCGAGCCAACAGGAAGUGAGAGAAUAUGCUAUAAAUGAAGGCUAUCAAAUGAAACUGAAGAGUACGGACGGAUGGAGGGAGAGGAAAGGAAAGGAAAGGAAAAGCAACAAAAGAUGGAGAUGUACACAUUAGAUGAAGGAGAGACAUCUUUGGAUGGAGAAAGAGACAUCUACUCGAUGUUGAUUUAGAUUUUGUCAUUAUUUUGCAC
rnacentral:lncRNA from 1 species